GAAAUGCGAUAAGUAAUGUGAAUUGCAGAAUUCAGUGAAUCAUCGAAUCUUUGAACGCACCUUGCGCUCCUUGGUAUUCCGAGGAGCAUGCCUGUUUGAGUGUCAUUAAUAUAUAUCAAACAAGAGUUUGGAUGGUGGUGGGGGUUUGCUGGCCUCUGUGAAGGGUUCAGCUCCCCUUAAAUGCAAUAGCAGAACAACCUGUUCAUUGGUGUGAUAACUAUCUACGCUAUUGAAUGUGGCUUUCCAAUCUAUCAUUAAUGUGACCUCAAAUCAGGUAGGACUACCCGCUGAACUUAA
rnacentral:misc_RNA from 1 species